rnacentral:rRNA from 1 species
UCGCUUCUACCGAUCGAGUGGUCCGGUGAACCUUUUGGACAGCGUAGUCCUGUCGGACUAUUGUUGAAAUUUAAGUAAAUCUUAUCACUUAGAGGAAGAAG